rnacentral:rRNA from 1 species
CGUUUUAAUUUUAACUCUAUUUAUUGUGAUGUCUUAGUUUUUGUUUUAUUUUUUAAAUUAUUUUUUGUAAAAUGUUUUAAUUUGUUUUUUUUUUGUUUUGAGAUAUUAAAAAUUGGUUUUUUGACCUGGAUUAGUCCCCAGGUAAUCAAAAUUAAUUAAUUCGGGAGUAAAGUUUUGUUUAAACCGAAAAAAUAUUGACUGACUUUAGAUUUUUCUUUGGACCAUGUGUUUUUGGGAGAGCCCUCCUUUUUAGGGAUUUUUGUUGGCCCAUGUAUGAUGGUUAAGUUUUUAUUUUGCUUUGUAAUGCUUUUUUUGUUUUUUACAUUUAAAACAGAUAUAUAUUUGGCUUAUGAGUUUAUUUUUCAUGUGUUACUAUUGUGAAUUAUUUUGGAUUGAUUUUUUAUUUUUUUUUGAAAUUGGAAAAGAAAGUAAUUUUUUUUGAUGUAAUGAUGAAUUAAAUAA